rnacentral:lncRNA from 13 species
AUGAUGAUGGUGAUAUCUUGUUACUCCAAAAGGAGUCGAAAUAAAAGAAAGGGACAAAGAACAGAAAGCAGCUGGACAGCAGGGUCACACGCACAGCGUCAGUACAGUACACGCAGCGUCAGCACACACGCACAGCAUACAGUACACACAUUGUCAGCACACACGCACAGUGUACAGUACACAGCAUCAGUACACACAGCAUACAGUACACACAGCAUACGGUACACACAGCAUACGGUACACACAGCAUCAGUACACACAGCAUACGGUACACACAGCAUACGGUACACACAGCAUCAGUACACACAGCAUACGGUACACACAGCAUCAGUACACACAGCAUACGGUACACACAGCAUAUGGUACACACAGCAUCAGUACACACAGCAUACGGUACACACAGCAUACGGUACACACAGCAUCAGUACACACAGCGUCAGCACACACGCACAGUGUACAGUACACAGCAUCAGUACACACAGCAUACAGUACACACAGCGUCAGACACACACACAGCAUACAGUACACACAUUGUCAGCACACACACAGCAUCAGCACACACACACAGUGUACAGUACACAGCAUCAGUACACAGCAUACAGUACUCACAGUGUCAGUACACAGCAUCUAGUACAUACACACAGCGUACAGUACCCAGUGUACAGUACACACAGCAUCAGUACACACAGCGUACAGUACACAUGCACAGCAUACAGUACCCAGUGUACACUACACACAGCAUCAGUACAUAGCAUACAGUACGCACAGCAUCAGUACACAGCAUAUAGUACAUACACACAGCCUACAGUACCCAGUGUACACUACACACAGCAUCAGUACACAGCAUACAGUACGCACAGCGUCAGUACACAGCAUAUAGUACAUACACACAGCGUACAGUACCCAGUGUACAGUACACACAGCAUCAGUACACACAGCGUACAGUACACAUGCACAGCAUCAGUACACAGCAUAUAGUACAUACACACAGCGUACAGUACCCAGUGUACACUACACACAGCAUCAGUACACACUCAGCGUACACUACACACAGCAUCAGUACACA